UUGAUUCCGAAAGGAUGUACAAGUUUAUCUGUGGUUGAUGAAUGGAUUGCAUACCUUGAAGGACUUGUGUUGCUCGAUGUGACGGAUUGUAGAAGCCUAAGAAAUGUUCCAUGUUUACCUAGAUCCCUUGUAUCACUUCAAAUGUCUGGUUGCCCAAACCUUGGAGAUGUUAGACGUUUUGAAUGGUUUGGUUCAACUUCAUUACCUUCUCAUUUGGUAAAAUUGAAUAUCUCAUAUUGCAAUCUGUUUGACACUUCUUUCCCAAAUUAAUGACUGAAGGUGUUGAGAAAUGAUGGAAGCAAUGUAACAAAACAAUGUAACCAAAAUGUAUACAAAACCUACCUAAUAUUCUCUAUGCUGCAAGAUGUUUACAGUUGCAAUCAAUUCAAGGACUCCCAAAAACACUCAUGGAAUUGGAUAUCGAGAGGAAUAUGUCAUUGGAGAAAGUAGAGGUCCAAUCAGAAAAACAUGGCAUCUUUGUGACCGGCCAGGGAGGGUAACUUGAAGUGGCAAUCAAUAGCCAAAGGUGAGAGAAAAAUUUUACAAAAGCUGCUUUUAGGAAUGAAAAUGGGUCUUGAUUAUUCUAAUAAACAAAAGGUCGUAUUUGAGUAUGGUAUAUUCAGCACACGGGUUAGAAAGGAACACAUACCUUCUUGCUGCACAUAUUAAGAAAGGGGCCCACAAAUAUCAUUUAAAGUUCCAUCUCAUGAUAGUGGUAGAAUAAUAAGUGGCUUCAACUUGUCUUUAGUAUUUUCUCCAUUAUACCUUAAGUGGUUUUAUUUGUAUGGUAUGGAAUCAAUUGAAAGAUGCCAAUUAAUGUGUAUUGGUCUGUUGAUUUGUAAUUUGGGUUUUGUUUUUUCUCA